rnacentral:lncRNA from 1 species
AAACGUGCUCUUUUGAGUCACUUCAAUUUCUUUCUUAAUUAAAAUUGUCUUUUAAUUAUCUCUUUCUAUAUUAGUGUAUAUGCAUUCAAAAGUAGUUUCAAGUCUCUUUGUUACUUCUCCUCUGUUUUUAUAAAUCUCUUUGCUUCAAAAAUUGAAGGCUCUUGCUUCUUGGUUUUCCAGUUGACUGUGAGUCUCUUGCGGAAGAGUUUUCGUUGGUUUUCUCUUUUAUCCAGGUGACUAGUGUCUAUGUAGCUUGUAAAAGCUGUGGAAGUUCAGUCUAUAAUUUUCAUUGUGACAACGAAGAUUGUAUUUUAACAUACACGUAUAUGCAUUUGACUAUUCAAUUGGUUGGGUUUAAUUUCUGGUUUUCUUCUAGUGCUUGUGCAUUUUUUUUAAAAUCAACAAAAUUGUGGUUUAAUGUUGAUUGAUGCAGGUGCAUAUUUUGGAAGAUGGAUUCGGGCGAAGCCUCUGUUCCGAGGAGGCGGACCAGACAACAAUGGGAUAAAUACUUUCUUGAAUUGUACGAGAAAAAGAAGGGGUUGAGUCAAAGUGGUAAUCCUCCUAAGAUUUCUUGAAUGAAAACAAAAGAUGAAAAAAAUGGACAAAGGAAAAAACAGUGUGAACGAUAGGAAAAGGGUGGAAAUGUCUGACAUCAUUAUCAUUAAGUAGGCCGAGGCAGUAGCAUAAGAGAAGGGCUUUUCAUACUCCUUAGUUUCUUGUAGUAGUAGUUGUAAUGGUGUUGAGAUAUAGCAGUUGUAAUGGUGAGUUGGGAUAAAUUUGUGCCGAACAGCGUAAUGGUGAGUUGGGAUAAAUUUGUGCCGAACUCGCUGUAUUCCAUCGGAUACCUGUUGCUACUUGCACCAUACAUAUAUCAUGUAAUUGACAAAACUUGUGUAUUUUUCCGUUUUCUUUAGGAAUGUAGAAAAUGAGGUACUCCUCUAGUACCAUACAUUUAUGUUUGCUCGCGUACCAACUUUCGGUAGUAGUCAGAGCAUUCAAGUAC